rnacentral:rRNA from 1 species
GAUGAACGCUGGCGGCGUGCCUAAUACAUGCAAGUCGAGCGAACAGACGAGGAGCUUGCUCCUCUGACGUUAGCGGCGGACGGGUGAGUAACACGUGGAUAACCUACCUAUAAGACUGGGAUAACUUCGGGAAACCGGAGCUAAUACCGGAUAACAUGUUGAACCGCAUGGUUCAACAGUGAAAGACGGUUUUGCUGUCACUUAUAGAUGGAUCCGCGUCGCAUUAGCUAGUUGGUAAGGUAACGGCUUACCAAGGCAACGAUGCGUAGCCGACCUGAGAGGGUGAUCGGCCACACUGGAACUGAGACACGGUCCAGACUCCUACGGGGGGCAGCAGUAGGGAAUCGUCCGCAAUGGGCGAAAGCCUGACGGAGCAACGCCGCGUGAGUGAAGAAGGUCUUCGGAUCGUAAAACUCUGUUAUUAGGGAAGAACAAAUGUGUAAGUAACUAUGCACGUCUUGACGGUACCUAAUCAGAAAGCCACGGCUAACUACGUG